GAUGUAGCAAAAUGGACGAAGGAAGUGGAUUGUGAAUCCACCAUGCAUGGGUUCAAUUCCCGUCAUC
rnacentral:tRNA from 1 species